ACGCUCGACACCUACGGGAGGUAGCAGUCGGGAAUAUUGCGCAAUGGAGGAAACUCUGACGCAGUGACGCCGCGUAUAGGAAGAAGGUUUUCGGAUUGUAAACUAUUGUCGUUAGGGAAGAUACAAGACAGUACCUAAGGAGGAAGCACCGGCUAACUAUGUGCCAGCAGCCGCGGUAAUCUGAGGCGGGCUGGCAAGGC
rnacentral:rRNA from 1 species